GAGAAAUAACAGCUGUCAUACAACUGAACUUGCACGUGACAGUACAAACCUGUGGUCUAUACACUCCUUUGGCCCCAGGGACAGACAAGAAAGGUGAAAAAUGUGACCCACUGGAGCUUAGAAAAUGCGCAAAGUCUCUUCAAGAUCGAGUUUGGAGGCAAGCAUAUGGAGAUCUACGUUUGCAUCUUUGAAUUGUAGGAGGCAGAUCUAUUCAACACAUUGCUAGGAGGCAUCCACUGAACAGCCCAGAUGCUAGUAUUUUCCAGCAUUCAACAGUACUUACGUAGUGGACAUGACUUCAUCUGCGAAGAGAAAACCAACUCAAAAUGGAGAAAUAACAGUAAGAAAAUUUAUGAUGUCACAGAAGAGGAUACACAAGGGAAGGCAAUCCUAAGAUUGAUGGGAAACAUAGGAAAAAGAAGAUAAUACUGGAACAAGGUGUUGGAGGAUGACAGCUAAAUCCCACUUCAACCAAGCAACCAACCAACCCACCCUGAGAAGUUUCCAUUCCAGGGGCUGGAUGGAAAGAAGUACCUCCAAAGAAUAUAUGUAUAACUUCAUAUCUCUUCAGGGUCUUUGGUAGAGCGAUCCAAUUUGGGAAGACCAGUCUUUGAAAAACUAUGAAAACUAUUUGCUAAUAUUAUGAAAAGCACAAUUUUCCUUUGCAUCUCUCUCUUUGAAUGUUAUAGGACUAUAUAGAAAGCUGCAGAUAUAAUGCCACAGUAAUUAGAAACUUUCCCCUCUAAAGACUGAAAAGCAGCUAACUCGUGGACUCACUAUACUUUCUUCAAAUGAUUUUUUUCUGGAAGCAUCGUAACAUUCAAUAAGUAGUCACAAUUUUUUUAAAUUAUUUAUCCAUAAGAUUAAAAGAAGUCCC
rnacentral:lncRNA from 1 species